AAUUUAUUUUAUCAAAGACCACACUCUCAUUUUACUAGGCCAAAUUGUGGGAGUACAGCCUGUGUAGCUUUGAUCAGAAAUAAGCAACUCUUUGUGGCAAAUGCUGGUGACUCCCGCUGUGUCAUCUCAAGGAAUGGUCAGGCAUAUAAUUUGUCUAGAGACCAUAAACCAGAGCUCGAGGCAGAGAGAGAGAGAGAGAGAGGAUACGGAGUGCAGGUAGUUUCAUUCUAAUGGGGCAUGUAAAUGGAAAUCUAAACUUGUCAAGAGCUAUCGGAGACAUGAAGUUCAAACAAAAUAAGUUCUUGCCCCCCGAUAAGCAAAUCCUGACUGCGAACCCCGACAUAAACAUUGUCGAGCUAUGUGAUGUCGACGAAUUCAUUGUUUUGGCAUGCGAUGGCAUAUGGGACUGCAUGUCAAGCCAGCAGUUGGUCGAUUUCAUCCGCGAGCAUAUAGACACAGUAAGUACCAAGCAAUUUAACACUAUUUGCCCUUUUGAAAAUUGUAAGCACCAUCUUCGGAUCACCUUUGGGCUUUCUUUGGCAAUUGCUCAUGCUGAUGUUGUCCUGGCCAUAUGCUUUCUAGAAACUGAAUGAACUGAGUCCUUUUGUAUGGCUGGGCAUGUUACUGUUUGCUUUCCUUAUUGAUACUUGCAGUGAUGGUGGGUUGGCUUUUCUGUUGGAUACCUGAAUCAGGUUGUCCACAGAUCAUUCUGAAAAAGCAUUUCGAUUAAGGAUGGCAAAAAGGUGCCCAUGAAGUUGGUGCUCGAUCGGAUGGUGCUCGAUCUAAUUAUUUGUUGAAGUUCUUAUUGAGGUUAUUAAGGUUUGCCAACUUUUUAGGUAGGUGUUCCAGAGCACAGAAGGCCCUUGAGCUAAGCCAACUUUUAGGAGUCAAUAUUUCUCCAACAUGUACUUUUGCAGUAGUCAUGAGUCAUUGCUUAUAUGAAGUAAGGAGAGAAAAUUAUUGCUUCUCUUUUCUGAUGCGUGAAGUUGUAGAUGGACAUUCUACAGAGAGUUGGUGAAGCCGUGUGUCUUUCAAGUACUACAUCAAUGAUUUCUUAUUUCUUUAUGGACUUGUAGCACCUAAAAGGAACUCGUUUUUGA